CUAAACGCUUUUCCUUUGCUCUAAAAAAAUUCACCCCAUACUUGAUGUUGAAGCGGUUGUGCCUAAGGGGUUUGAAUCCAUUUUAGAGUUACAACUCUCCACAUCCAGGGUGCAUGAGUCAGCCCAGGCUAGGAGACAAUGCCAAAGACAAAGAAGAAGAUUACGCCAGCCUCCUGAUAGGCCAUAAGAGGCCAUCAGCACAUCUUUUUCAGUUUUACCUGUGAAGGUCAAGAAGAAGUUGAAUAUUAUAGUGAAAGUACAUGUAGCUGUGUGUCUUCAUCACCAUUUCUUUGAAUUAAUUUAUUUAUGUGACAAGUUUUUUUUGUAUAGUGCUAGCUUCUGGAGUGCUUAAAUUAUUUGUGUAUAACAAUUAAACAGACAUGCAGGUGUCAUAAAGGCAAUAAAUUUAAAGGCGUUA